CACGUAGGGGGCAAGCGUUGUUCGGAAUCAUUGGGCGUAAAGGGCGCGUAGGCGGCCUGUCAAGUCGGGUGUGAAAUCCCUCGGCUCAACCGAGGAACCGCACUCGAUACUGUCGGGCUGGAGUCCGGGAGGGGAUGGUGGAAUUCCCAGUGUAGCGGUGAAAUGCGUAGAUAUUGGGAAGAACACCGGUGGCGAAGGCGGCCAUCUGGACCGGUACUGGCGCUGAGGCGCGAAAGCUAGGGGAGCGAAUGGG
rnacentral:rRNA from 1 species